UCUUGUGCUCUGACAGAGGCAGCUCUUCAGGGUGGUAGCUGGUUUCCCCACAGAGAAGGCUGUCUCUCACCCCAGGCAGAAGAGGACAGAUCCAUGCAUUCAGCCUGGGGAGGAGACCUGGUGUUGCAGGCACAUCAUGCUUACGGUGGUCAAACCCUCACAGCCCCACGAGGAGCGGGAGAGGCUGGCAUAGGACACAAGAGCCUGGGGAUGCUUAGGCAGGUUGGGGGGAAUCAGAUAUCAGGAAUAAGGACCCACAGAAAUCAUUUGGUUCAAUGCAUCUCAAAUCUGGUGGCUGCAAAACUCAAAGACUAAUUCCCGGACCCUAGCCCAGACCCACUAUGUCAGAAUGUCCAGGGGAUGAGGCCCAAGAAGGGAUAUUUUAAAAACUGCCCAAAAUGUAUGCAGCCAGGUUUGAGAACCACUGCUGCAUCUACCUUAGGCUUUAUACACAGACUGUGCUACAAGUAAAUGGUUCUCAAAACAGGUGUGUAAAACAGAAGAAAGGAUACACACAUCAUUCAACAGACUACAGUGAACCUGCCAGACCACGCAUCAAGGCGAAUACAUAAGACAGUCCUUGCCAAGCUGCGUCCUUGAGCCCGCCUGAAUCCCGGCAGGGUGGAGUUGAGGGCGGCCUCUCUACUUCAUUUAGCCCACCAGACCUUCGGACCUGAGGGUCUCUGAUCCAGCCUCUCGGGGCCACCACCCCCUGCAGGGCUCCAGGAAGAGUCAAAUUGCCCGGUGGGCCAGAGCUCUCCCUCCCUUUUGUUGCCGCUUGGCGCCUGGCAGGUCAGAGGUCACUGGGCCCAGCAGCCCCAGUCCCUGGAUGGGUGGAGCACCCACAAAACAGCCAGGCUGUGAAGAGGCCCACUUUGGAGUGAGAAGGGGCUGCUUCUUGCGUGUCAUUUUGCAAAAAGAAUCUCUGUCUCUUCCUCUACCUUGAGUUACACUACCAAAUACUCCUUUUGGUUAAUGUAGCUUUCUUAUAUGCUAGGGGUGAGAGGAGGGGAAAGCCACCUUAUUCUGUCAGGAAGGCACUUGGGCAUAAAUUAAUCUGUAGGCCAAGUGCAGUGGCUGAUGCCUGUAAUUAUGCACUUUGGGAGGCCGAAGUGGGAGGAUCACUUGAGGCCAGGAGUUCCAGACCAGCCUGGGCAACAUAGUGAGAACCCAUCUCUACAAAAAGUUUUAAAAGAAUUUAGCCGGGCAUGGUGGUGGGCAACUGUAGCCCCAGCUACUUAGGAGACUGAAGUGGAAGGCUCACUUGAACUGGGGAGCUCAAGAUUGCAAUGAAAUACCAUCACAUCACUGCACACCAGCCUGGGCAACAGAGCAAGACCCUGCCUCUAAAACUAAAUAAAUAAUCGGCGGGGCACAGUGGCUCACGCCCGUAAUCCCAGCACUUUGGGAGGCCGAGGCAGGCGGAUCACCUGAGGUCAGGAGUUCUAGACCAGCCUGGCCAACAUGGUGAAACCCUGUCUCUACUAAAAAUACAAAAAAUUAGCUGGCGUGGUGGCGGGCGCCUGUAAUCCCAGCCGCUAGGGAGGCUGAGGCAGGAGAAUGGCUUGAACCUGGGAGGUGCAGGUUGCAGUGAGCCGAGAUCGCGCCACUGCACUCCAACUUGGGUGACAGAGCAAGACUCCACCUAAAAAUAUAAAUAAAUAAAUAAUCUGUGACUCCAUCAACACUUUCACCUGUUGGCUCCACGUGCAUCAGAUGAGCUCAUUUGGGAGGUCACCUUAACCUCGGAUCAACAUGGCAGGUCCUCCCACAAGCAGCCUAUUUAAAAUGUGAGCCACCCCCUUCCCCGGAAUUCCCUACCUCCCAGCCUUGUUUUAUUUUUCUCUCAUGCACUUACUAUAUCUUAAAUGCUUAUUUAUUCAUGUACUUGUUUAAACUACUUUUGAUUUUCUGACUUCUUAUCAUUGGUCUGAUUCCUCCACCGUAACAGAACUUCCAUGAGGGCGGGGAUUUUUCGCUUCCCCCGCAACUGCCUGCGUUUUCGUAGCCCUAGAGCUUCCAACGUACAGUGCGGAAAAGCAACAUAACACACUAAGAACCGUGCGGAAAAGGAGAGAAAACCAGACCGCAGGGGCAUUUCACAGCUAACCACAGCGGUCCGAGGCGAACGCAGGGUGGAAGAACCCGAGCGAGGCCCGGCAGGGGCGGGGUGAGCCUUGGCCCCGCUCCCGUGCAGGUGUCGCGGAGACCCACGCACGGAAGGAUGAUACACUGUGAUUCCCCGACGUGGGCCUGCAGCAAGAGACGGGUGCUAACAGCGUCCGAGCCAAUCCGCGCGGGCCUCCCUGCUGUCAUCACACCUCGGAUCACCCCAGGCAAUCUCGCCCCUGUGGCUUCACCUGGGUCCAGCCAGACCUCUGCUCAGCUCUGCACGUGCUUAUCACACAUGCAGUCAAUGAACACCUCACAAAUGCAAGGUUCACAUGCAGUCUUCGAUGAACACAUCGAUCGCAUCCAGCAGUAUGUCUGUAUUGGAAAAGUCCUUCCAUAGCACCCAGUAAUGAAAAGGAAUGUGGCGGGGAGCAGUACUGGACAGUAAAACUAAAAACACCAGGAAGAUCACAGUGAGAUCAGCAGAGCCCUAGAAUGGCAAAUCCAUGACAAAGAAAAUUUCUGAUGAAUAAAAACGUGCCUGGGUCCAGGCCAGCAA